rnacentral:tRNA from 1 species
UUAAAAUAGGUUAAGAAUAAACCAUAAAGCUUAUUACUUUAAAAUUUAAAUACUAGUGUUAAUUUUAAUAGUUUUUAG